GACGAACGCUGGCGGCGUGCCUAAUACAUGCAAGUAGAACGCUGAAGGAGGAGCUUGCUUCUCUGGAUGAGUUGCGAACGGGUGAGUAACGCGUAGGUAACCUGCCUGGUAGCGGGGGAUAACUAUUGGAAACGAUAGCUAAUACCGCAUAAGAGUAGAUGUUGCAUGACAUUUGCUUAAAAGGUGCAAUUGCAUCACUACCAGAUGGACCUGCGUUGUAUUAGCUAGUUGGUGGGGUAACGGCUUACCAAGGCGACGAUACAUAGCCGACCUGAGAGGGUGAUCGGCCACACUGGGACUGAGACACGGCCCAGACUCCUACGGGAGGCAGCAGUAGGGAAUCUUCGGCAAUGGACGGAAGUCUGACCGAGCAACGCCGCGUGAGUGAAGAAGGUUUUCGGAUCGUAAAGCUCGGUUGUAAGAGAAGAACGAGUGUGAGAGUGGAAAGUUCACACUGUGACGGUAGCUUACCAGAAAGGGACGGCUAACUACGUG
rnacentral:rRNA from 1 species